rnacentral:rRNA from 1 species
UACGAAGGGGGCUAGCGUUGCUCGGAAUCACUGGGCGUAAAGGGCGCGUAGGCGGUCAGCACAAGUCAGUUGUGAAAUCUCCGGGCUUAACUCGGAAAGGUCAACUGAUACUGUGCGACUAGAGUGCAGAAGGGGCAACUGGAAUUCUCGGUGUAGCGGUGAAAUGCGUAGAUAUCGAGAGGAACACCUGCGGCGAAGGCGGGUUGCUGGGCUGACACUGACGCUGAGGCGCGAAAGCCAGGGGAGCGAACGGG